rnacentral:rRNA from 1 species
GACGAACGCUGGCGGCGGGCCUAAUACAUGCAAGUAGAGCGCAGUUGCGAACGGUAGAGUAACGCGUAGGUAACUGCCUGGUAGCGGGGGAUGACUAUUGGAAACGAUAGCUAAUACCGCAUACUACCAGAUGGACCUGCGUUGGAUUAGCUAGUUGGUGAGGUAACGGCCCACCAAGGCAACGGUACAUAGCCGAGCUGGGAGGGUGGUCGGGCACAAUGGGACCGGGAAACGGGCCAGGCCCCUAAGGGAGGGAGCAGGAGGGAAAUUUCGGCAAUGGGGGGAACCCUGACCGAGCCCAGCCGCGGGAGUGAAGGAGGGUUUCGGAUCGUAAAGGUCCUUUGUGUAGGAAGCGGUACUUACCCAGAAAGGGACGGCUAACUACGUGCCAGCAGCCGCGGUAAUAC